rnacentral:ncRNA from 1 species
UCACCCGCUUCUCUUCCCUUAGCGGGUGUCUUAUCUCCUCCCAAGUAGGUUAAGACUUUUGCCCCUGAUCUUAGGUUCGGGGGCAUUUUUUU